AUUGAACGCUGGCGGCAUGCCUUACACAUGCAAGUCGAACGGCAGCACGGGGGCGAACCCUGGUGGCGAGUGGCGAACGGGUGAGUAACACAUCGGAACGUACCCAGUUGUGGGGGAGUAACCAGUCGAAAGACUGGCUAAUACCGCAUGAUCUGGCGACAGCAAAGCGGGGGAUCGCAAGACCUCGCGCGAUUGGAGCGGCCGAUGUCCGAUUAGCUAGUUGGGGGGUAAACGGCCCACCAAGGCUUUGAUCGGUAGCUGGUCUGAGAGGAUGAUCAGCCACACUGGGACUGAGACACGGCCCAGACUCCUACGGGAGGCAGCAGUGGGGAAUUUUGGACAAUGGGGGCAACCCUGAUCCAGCCAUGCCGCGUGAGUGAAGAAGG
rnacentral:rRNA from 1 species